GAUGAACGCUGGCGGCGUGCCUAAUACAUGCAAGUCGAGCGAACGGACGAGAAGCUUGCUUUUCUGAUGUUAGCGGCGGACGGGUGAGUAACACGUGGAUAACCUACCUAUAAGACUGGGAUAACUUCGGGAAACCGGAGCUAAUACCGGAUAAUAUUUUGAACCGCAUGGUUCAAAAGUGAAAGACGGUCUUGCUGUCACUUAUAGAUGGAUCCGCGCUGCAUUAGCUAGUUGGUAAGGUAACGGCUUACCAAGGCAACGAUGCAUAGCCGACCUGAGAGGGUGGUCGGACACACUGGAACUGAGACAGGGCCCAGACACCUAGGGGAGGACGCAGUAGGGAAUCUUACGCAAGGGGCGAAUGCCUGACGGAGCACAGCCGCGUGAGUGAUGAAGGUCUUCGGAUCGUAAAACUCUGUUAUUAGGAAAGAACAUAUGUUCAAGUACCUGUGAACAUCUUGACGGUACCUAAUCAAAAAGCCACGGCUAACUCCGUG
rnacentral:rRNA from 1 species